rnacentral:rRNA from 1 species
UUGGAGGGCAAGUCUGGUGCCAGCAGCCGCGGUAAUUCCAGCUCCAAUAGCGUAUAUUAAAGUUGUUGCAGUUAAAAAGCUCGUAGUUGAACUUCGGGAUCAAUUGAUUGGUCAUGCCGUUGGUAUGUACUGGUCAUAUUGGUUCUCACCUUCUAAGGAACCAUAAUGUCAUUAAUUUGAUGUUUUGGGGAAUUAGGACUGUUACCUUGAAAAAAUUAGAGUGUUUAAAGCAGGCUAACGCUUGAAUACAUUAGCAUGGAAUAAUGAAAUAGGACAUCGCAUUCUAUUUUGUUGGUUUCUAGGAUCGAUGUAAUGGUUAAUAGGGAUAGUUGGGGGCAUUAGUAUUCAAUUGUCAGAGGUGAAAUUCUUGGAUUUAUUGAAGACUAACUACUGCGAAGGCAUUUGCCAAGGAUGUUUUCAUUAAUCAAGAACGAAAGUUAGGGGGUCGAAGACGAUCAGAUACCGUCGUAGUCUUAACCAUAAACUAUGCCGACUAGGGAUCGGAUGAUGUCGAUUUUUUAAUGACUCAUUCGGCGCCUUACGGGAAAC